UACGGAGGGUGCAAGCGUUAUCCGGAAUCACUGGGCGUAAAGGGCGCGUAGGUGGUCUGUUAAGUCUGGCGUUAAAGCCUGGGGCUCAACCCCAGAUCAGCGUUGGAUACUGGCAGGCUAGACGGUUGGAGAGGCGAGUGGAAUUACCAGUGUAGCGGUGGAAUGCGUAGAUACUGGUAGGAACACCCAUUGCGAAGGCAGCUCGCUGGACAACACGUGACACUGAGGCGCGAAAGUGUGGGGAGCAAACCGGAUUAGAUA
rnacentral:rRNA from 1 species